UGGAUUAUUUUAUUCACAUUACUUAGUAAAUUUAGAGUGGCCCGAUAAAUCUAAUCGAAGGAUAUUCAUCACCAGCCUAUAAAAAAAGAAAAUCGUGUCGCCGCUUGUCUUUUUGUGAACACGUUUACGUACAUGGAUGCGUUUAGUGUCUCACGGAGGUAGCCGAAUUUGUAAAAACAACAACAACAACAACAACAAAACCACUUUGAGACUACAGCGAAAGUAUUGACAUGGGUGCACAGAGCCAAGACGGCACAUACCUCAAACAUCACACCGGAUUGUGCUGCAUGGAUCAGUCAGAGAAACUAUAAAGUGGGGCCCUUAUGUGUGUGGAGACAGGAGACAUCAUCGUUCCUGUAAAUGAUCAUGUGGAAGUUUUGGAAAGACGCGAGAAUGCAACAGAACCCGUCACGCACAGCUCAUUAAACACUCAAUUAGAUCUGCGCUGCAACACUACACCUGUAAACUGGUGAGUCA